rnacentral:rRNA from 1 species
GACGAGCGCUGGCGGCGUGCUUAACACAUGCAAGUCGAACGGAAAGGCCCUGCUUUUGUGGGGUGCUCGAGUGGCGAACGGGUGAGUAACACGUGAGUAACCUGCCCUUGACUUUGGGAUAACUUCAGGAAACUGGGGCUAAUACCGGAUAGGAGCUCCUGCUGCAUGGUGGGGGUUGGAAAGUUUCGGCGGUUGGGGAUGGACUCGCGGCUUAUCAGCUUGUUGGUGGGGUAGUGGCUUACCAAGGCUUUGACGGGUAGCCGGCCUGAGAGGGUGACCGGCCACAUUGGGACUGAGAUACGGCCCAGACUCCUACGGGAGGCAGCAGUGGGGAAUAUUGCACAAUGGGCGGAAGCCUGAUGCAGCAACGCCGCGUGCGGGAUGACGGCCUUCAGGUUGUAAACCGCUUUCGCCUGUGACGAAGCGUGAGUGACAGUAAUAGGUAAAGAAGCACCGGCUAACUACGUG